CCUUUACGGUUACCUUGUUACGACUUUUCCCUCCUUACGAAACUUAGAUUCGACACCGCCAUGAAAGACGGCGCCUCACCCAAGAGUCGCUCGGAUGGAACGACGGGCGGUGUGUGCAAGGAGCAGGGACGUAUUCACCGCGCGCUAAUGACACGCGAUUACUAGGGAUUCCAUGUUCACGAGGGCGGGUCGCAGCCCUCGAUCCCAACUACGGCAGGCUUUCGAGAUUGCCUUCCCCUUUCGAGGUCGGAACCCAUUGUACCUGCCAUUGCAGCUCGCGUGUGGCCCGGGAGAUUCGGGGCAUACUGACCUGCCGUGGCCCGCUCCUUCCUCCACUUUAUCAGUGGCGGUCUCCUCAGUGUGCCCAGCUCAAGGCUAGUUGCAACAGAGGACGCGGAUCUCGAUCGUUGUCUGACUUAACAGGACACCUCACGGCACGAACUGGCGACGGGCAUGCACCUCCUCUCACCUCGUCUGGUAAGACAUUUAAUCUG
rnacentral:rRNA from 1 species